rnacentral:rRNA from 1 species
GACGAACCGUGCGAACGUUGUUCGGAAUCACUGGGCUUAAAGGGCGCGUAGGCGGCUUCGCAAGUCCGGGGUGAAAGCCCCCAGCUUAACUGGGGAAGUGCCUCGGAUACUGCGGAGCUCGAGGGAGGUAGGGGCGGAUGGAACUUCCGGUGGAGCGGUGAAAUGCGUUGAUAUCGGAAGGAACGCCGGUGGCGAAAGCGAUCCGCUGGCCCUCUACUGACGCUGAGGCGCGAAAGCCAGGGGAGCAAACGGG